rnacentral:lncRNA from 1 species
GUUAAAUGUGUCCUUUAAAUGAAAUGAAAUGAAAUGAAAUGAAAUGAAAUGAAAUGAAAUUAAUUUAAUUUAUUUUAUUUUUUUAAGUAAUUAUUUAAUCUGACAGGUUUAACACGGGCGCGCGCGCGCGCUCAGAUAGCGGAAGAUGACCGCCUUUAAGAUGACCGCUCCGGAAACAACCGAACGUGGCCGAAAAGUCCCGAGGGAGGAAGCGUGAAAGUGAGCGUCUGCAGCUCUGAGAGCAGCGCUUCUUGACGGAGGAGCCUUCACCCGCAGUGCUCCCGGGAGCUCCGCUUCUCCAGGACUCCUGGAUUCAUCUCCGUUCUUCCGGUGGACGCCUUCAGAGGGUCACAGGUGUUACACGGAGGUCUGGAAAUUCAGGAACUCUCUGUGCUUGUCAGGGAUUAACCUGAUUCUAUGGAUGAAGCUGCACCUCCUUUCAGGAUUUCUAGAGCUUUCCUUCAUUUCUACCACCAAAUAAGUCACAGUCUUGUUGGAUAAAAGUGUGAGCCUGCAGCAAAUGAACUCCAGUUUCAGGACCGUAGGAGGUCCCUCACCCCUGAGAUGAUGGAUCUUCGAUUUAGAGGGUUUCUUUUUCUGUUACUGCCGCUGGCCCAGCUGAUCCUGCCCGCUCACACUGACAGUCAGUAUCUAAUCUAGUUUGUUUUAGCACCAGGGGUCCUGCAGGUCAUUGUGUGUCAAACAUGCAUGAAGCAUUCUAAUGUGUGAGAAGAAUA